AUGCUCUAUCCCCAAGAAGAGUGCUCGGUGGUGGAGGCCACACCCCGCCCUCGGCAGCUAGGCCAGCUAAGAGCCACACUGACUGACUGCGGUUCUGGUCUGUUCUUCCACACAGAGCGCGUCGGAGGAGCAGCGUUGGCGUUGCUAUUAGGAGACCUGCACAUCCCACACCAGUGCAACAGUCUGCCAGCUAAAUUUUAAAAAACUGCUGGUACCAGGAAAGAUUCAGCACAUUCUCUGCGCUGGAAACCUUUGUACCAAAGAGAGUUAUGACUAUCUCAAGACUCUGGCUGGUGAUGUUCAUACCGUGAGAGGAGACUUCGAUGCGAAUCUGAAUUAUCCAGAACAGAAAGUUGUAACUGUUGGGCAGUUCAACAUUGGUCUGAUCCAUGGACAUGAAGUUAUUCCACGGGGAGAUGUGGCCAGGUUAGCCCUGCUGCAGAGGCAGUUUGAUAUGGAUAUCCUUAUUUCAGGACACACACAUAAAUUUGAAGCACGUGAGCAUGAAAAUAAAUUCUACAUUAAUCCAGGUUCUGCCACUGGAGCAUAUAAUGCCUUGGAAACGAACAUUAUUCCUUCAUUUGUGUUGAUGGAUAUCCAGGCUUCUACAGUUGUCGCUUACGUGUAUCAGCUAAUUGGAGACGACGUGAAAGUAGAACAGAUCGAAUACAAAAAAUCUUAAAGUGAGGCGUGUCCUGAUGAUUUUUCUGUUGGGCUUUUUUUCUUCUUCAUUCCCCUGUUCAACUCAAGUAAUUAAACAUUUAAGAGCCA